rnacentral:rRNA from 1 species
UACAGAGGUCUCAAGCGUUGUUCGGAUUCAUUUGGGCGUAAAGGGUGCGUAGGCGGCGCGGUAAGUCGGGUGUGAAAUCCCUCAGCUUUAACUGGGGAACUGCGUCUGAUACUGGUUGGCUUGAGUGCAGGAGAGGAACGCGGAAUUCCAGGUGUAGCGGUGAAAUGCGUAGAUAUCUGGAGGAAUACCGGUGGCGAAGGCGGCAUCCUGGACCGGCAUUGACGCUGAUGAGCGAAAGCUAGGGGAGCAAACGGGG